AUUUGAACCACCACUUAAUUAAUCUGAAAGAAAUUGACAUGAACAAAUUAAGCAUAACAUGAAAAAAGAAAUCAGACACAUUCCCAUGACAGAAGUGCAUGCAUGCAAAUUAAUCAAUCACACGGAGUGACCACCACGACGACGACGACGGCGGCGGCGGCGACCAACUCGACCGGAGAGAGACGUACGACGAACUUAACCGCUACCGCCGAGGACGGACUUGAGCUUCUUCACCUGCGCGUCGUCCAAGAAGGUGACCUUCUCGACGAUGGCGGACGGCAGGUUGUUGGCGAAGAGGGCGUAGUCGGUGAUCUGGAGGCCGGGGUUGGGGCCGCUGAAGGCGACGAGCGCCACCGCCGCCGACUGGCCGGCGUUGUACUGGUAGUGCAGGAGGCCCUGGGGGAACACCAUGAUGUCGCCGGCGUACAGCGUCCUGGUGUAGACGGUGUUGGAGGAGGAGGUGAUGAACCCGGCGGCGACGGUGCCCUGGGUGACGAACAGGAGCUCGGAGGCGGCCGGGUGGGUGUGGAGCGGCACGACGCCGCCGACGGCGAUGUCCAGCCUCGCCGCGGAGAUACCGAGCCCGUUCACGCCGGGGAACUGGCCGACGAAGGCCGGCGUCACGGCGGCCUUGAUGAGGUUGCUGGUGUUGCCCGCCGCCGCGAGGCCGUGGUAGGCGAAGUCGCCGGCGCCGACGCUGGCCUUGCACGGGUACCCCGCCGGCGUGUCGCUGCAGGUCAGGUCGGCGACGCAGAAA
rnacentral:misc_RNA from 1 species